GCCUCUGUAGUGUAGUGGUUCAUCACGACGGAUUCUGAUUCCGUAAACCCUGGUUCGAUUCCAGGCAGGGGCU
rnacentral:tRNA from 1 species